AUGUGCGAGUAUUUGGGUGGAAAACCCUGAUGCGUAAUGAAAGUAAAGGCGGACUCGUGCCGCUGAGGUAGGAACCCUGGCUUCGGUUGGGGGGCACUAUCGACCGAACGUUCGCUUGCGAAAGUUUUGAGUAAGAGCACAUCUGUUGGGACCCGAAAGAUGGUGAUCUAUGCCAGAACAGGGUGAAGGCAGGGGAAACUCUGCUGGAAGCUCGUAGCGAUACUGACGUGCAAAUCGUUCGUCUGAUUUUGGUAUAGGGGCGAAAGACUAAUCGAACCAUCUAGUAGCUGGUUCCCACCGAAGUUUCCCCCAGGAUAGCUGGAACUAUAUCGGUCUUAUCAGGUAAAGCUAAUGAUUAGAGGUCUUCGGAAUGAAACAUUCUGACCCUAUUCUCAAACUUUAAAUAGGUAAGAAACCCUAAGUCACUUAAUUGGACUUGGGUCUCGGACGAGAGUUCUUAGUGGGCCAUUUUUGGUAAGCAGAACUGGCGAUGCGGGAUGAACCGGACGUUGACUUAAGGUGCCAAACUAUUCGCUCAUCUAGAUCUCGCAAAAGGUGUU
rfam:Beta vulgaris subsp. vulgaris contig153474.1, whole genome shotgun sequence.